rnacentral:rRNA from 1 species
CGUAACAAGGUUUCCGUAGGUGAACCUGCGGAAGGAUCAUUACCGAGUGAGAAUCCUCUGGAUUCAACCUCCCACCCGUGUUUAUUUUACCUUGUUGCUUCGGUGGACCCGCCGUAAGGCCGCCGGGGGCAUCUGCCCCGGGUCCGUGUCCACCGGAGACAAUCUGAACUCUGUCUGAAUGUUGCAGUCUGAGUAUAUAACUUAAUUAGUUAAAACUUUCAACAACGGAUCUCUUGGUUCCGGCAUCGAUGAAGAACGCAGCGAAAUGCGAUAACUAAUGUGAAUUGCAGAAUUCAGUGAAUCAUCGAGUCUUUGAACGCACAUUGCGCCCCCUGGUAUUCCGGGGGGCAUGCCUGUCCGAGCGUCAUUGCUGCCCUCAAGCACGGCUUGUGUGUUGGGCCCUCGUCCCUUUCGGGGGACGGGCCCGAAAGGCAGCGGCGGCACCGGUCCGAUCCUCGAACGUAUGGGGCUUUGUCACUCGUUCUUGUAGGAUUGGCCGGCGCUUGCCGACACCAUCAAUCUUUUUCCAGGUGACCUCGGAUCAG